rnacentral:rRNA from 1 species
UGCGUAGAGAUGCGGAGGAACACCGAUGGCGAAGGCAGCCCCCUGGGCUAACACUGACGCUCAGGCACGAAAGCGUGGGGAGCAAACAGGAUUAGAUACCCUGGUAGUCCACGCCCUAAACCAUGUCAACUGGGUGUUCGGGAAGCGAUUUCUGAGUACCGUAGCUAACGCGUGAAGUUGACCGCCUGGGGAGUACGGCCGCAAGGUUAAAACUCAAAGGAAUUGACGGGGACCCGCACAAGCGGUGGAUGAUGUGGAUUAAUUCGAUGCAACGCGAACAACCUUACCUACCCUUGACAUGUCUGGAAGGCCCCUGAGAGGGGGUUGUGCCCGAAAGGGAACCGGAACACAGGUGCU